UUUCAGUUCAGCCGUCCUUCCUUGUUUGGGAUCGAGUUACGGGUCUUGCAUGCUGGGUUCUAAGACGGUUGCAUGCGACAUCAAGCUGCUGCAUCGUCAUCGGAGUUGCCACUGCUAUGUUCUCUGGCUUAUUCGUUUGAGUUCGGUUCUUACGUGCCGUGAUUAAAGUUGCUGUGGUUGAGGUUGUGUUGUUGCGGGCAGUGAGAAAAAGAGUUUCUGUCGCGUGGUUAAGUCGUAUUCGAGGUAGGGGCCUUUUCAAAGAACUUAAUUUUAUGAUUUGGAGUUGUUAUAAAUGGAUAUUAAUGUGAUAAAUGUACUUUUGGUGGUUGUA